rnacentral:sRNA from 1 species
UAGCAUAAGGUUGUAACCUUUUUGCUGC